AUGCAAUCUACCUUUUACAGGGGGAUAGCCCAGAGAAAUUUGGAUUAAUACCCCAUAGUAUAACGAUGUGGCAUCACAAUGUUAUUAAAGUUCCAACGGUAAAAGAUGAGCAUGCGUCCCAUUAGCUAGAUGGUAAGGUAACGGCUUACCAUGGCUACCAUGGGUAGGGGUCCUGAGAGGGAGAUCCCCCACCCUGGUACUGAGACACGGACCAGACUCCUACCGGAGGCAGCAGUGAGGAAUAUUGGACAAUGGGCGCAAGCCUGAUCCAGCCAUGCCGCGUGCAGGAAGAAGCAUCUAUGGUGUGUAAACUGCUUUUGUACGGGAAGAAACACUCCUA
rnacentral:rRNA from 1 species